AUAAAUUAGUGGCAGACGGGUGAGUAAUGUAUAGGAAUCUACCUAGUAGUACGGAAUAAUUGUUGGAAACGACAACUAAUACCGUAUACGCCCUACGGGGGAAAAAUUUAUUGCUAUUAGAUGAGCCUAUAUUAGAUUAGCUAGUUGGUGGGGUAAUAGCCUACCAAGGUAAUGAUCUAUAGCUGAUCUGAGAGGAUGAUCAGCCACACUGGAACUGAGAUACGGUCCAGACUCCUACGGGAGGCAGCAGUGGGGAAUAUUGGACAAUGGGCGAAAGCCUGAUCCAGCCAUGCCGCAGAGUGAAGAAGGCCUUUGGGUUGUAAAGCUCUUUUAGUGAGGAAGAUAAUGACGGUACUCACAGAAGAAGUCCUGGCUAACUCCGUGCCAGCAGCCGCGGUAAUACGGAGAGGGCUAGCGUUAUUCGGAAUUAUUGGGCGUAAAGGGCGCGUAGGCUGGUUAAUAAGUUAAAAGUGAAAUCCCGAGGCUUAACCUUGGAAUUGCUUUUAAAACUAUUAAUCUAGAGAUUGAAAGAGGAUAGGGGAAUUCCUGAUGUAGAGGUAAAAUUCGUAAAUAUUAGGAGGAACACCAGUGGCGAAGGCGUCUAUCUGGUUCAAAUCUGACGCUGAAGCGCGAAGGCGUGGGGAGCAAACAGGAUUAGAUACCCUGGUAGUCCACGCUGUAAACGAUGAAUGUUAAAUAUGGGGAGUUUACUUUCUGUAUUACAGCUAACGCGUUAAACAUUCCGCCUGGGGACUACGGUCGCAAGAUUAAAACUCAAAGGAAUUGACGGGGACCCGCACAAGCGGUGGAGCAUGUGGUUUAAUUCGAUGCAACGCGAAAAACCUUACCACUUCUUGACAUGAAAAUC
rnacentral:rRNA from 1 species